UGUUGUUAAAUUAUGUUCUUAACUGUAACCUUUUGUUGUUGUUGUUUUUAAUUUAUCUCUUUAAUCUUUUUUUUAUUAGUAAAAGCAAGUCUCUUUGAAUUCUUCAUUCUAGAUUUGUACAAAUGCUUUUUUUGUCCGUCCUCGUGGGGUUUUUUUUCUCCCCCUUUUCUUUGUUGUUUUCGUUGUUGUUGAUAACAAACUGGAAACCUGUCUCUCUCUGUUUGUGGACAAAUGAGAGGUUUCAGAUGCAGUGAGGAGCACUGAGUCCUUUGCAAUGUUUUCAGCCAUAGACCUUUGGGUCUGCCUGGACUGUAUGUGGAUGUGUGCGUGUGUUGUGACACGGGACAACACAUGCCUCUGCAAGUGUGUGUGCCGUGGAUAGCCCCUUGGCUGCUCUCCUGCAGAGAGACAUCGGACAGACCUUAAUUCUUACUCACUGCUGUGGCUGGAGAGUAUAAGGAAUGCUUUUUCUUUUUUUCUUUCUUUCUUUCUUUUUUUUUUUUAAGACAGCAGUCUUUUUUUUUAAUUUAAAAAAAAAAAGAUAUAUUAACAGUUUUAGAAGUCAGUAGAAUAAAACCUUAAAGCGUUCUUAUAAUAUGGCAUCUUUCGAUUUCUGUAUAAAAACAGACCUUUUAAAAAAUAUUUCUGUAACUUAAGAAACCUGACAUUUAUGUCAUAUUUUCUCUUUAGGUAAGAUUUGGUUUGUUUGUGUCUUGUUUGUUUCCCUCUCCAAAUUCUUCCUUCUUUGUGCACCCUGCCUUUCUUCCCUUCCAUCCUUUCUUUUUUGUAUAUUAUUGUUUACAAUAAAUAUACAUUGCAUUAAAGU
rnacentral:lncRNA from 1 species